UACAGAGGUGGCAAGCGUUGUUCGGAAUUAUUGGGCGUAAAGGGCGCGCAGGCGGCCUUCUAAGUCAGAUGUGAGAUCCCCCGGCUUAACCUGGGAACUGCGUCUGAUACUGGGAGACUUGAGUAUGGGAGAGGGAUGUAGAAUUCCAGGUGUAGCGGUGAAAUGCGUAGAUAUCUGGAGGAAUACCGGUGGCGAAGGCGGCAUCCUGGACCAUAACUGACGCUGAGGCGCGAAAGCUAGGGGAGCAAACGGG
rnacentral:rRNA from 1 species